rnacentral:rRNA from 1 species
AAGUCUGGCCUGCCCACUGAAUUUAAUUUGAAGGGCCGCAGUAUUUUGACUGUGCAAAGGUAGCAUAAUCAUUAGUCUUUUAAUUGGAGGCUAGAAUGAAUGGUUGGACGAGGUGAAGACUGUCUCAGCGUAGAUGUAUUAGAAUUUAACUUUUGAGUUAAAAGGCUCAAAUUUUUUUAAAGGACGAGAAGACCCUAUAGAGCUUUAUAUUUAAUAUUUUAAAAUAUUUGUGGCAAAGAUUUAUAUAUUAUUUAUGUAAAUAUUUUGUUGGGGUGACAGGAAGAUAAGAUAAACUCUUUUUAUAUAUAAACAUUGAUUUAUGAAUAGUUGAUCCAUUAAUAGUGAUUAUAAGACUAAGUUACC